rnacentral:tRNA from 1 species
GUUGUAAUAGUUUAACAAAAACACUGGUCUUGUAAACCAGAAUUAGAUCAUGUCUUUAUAACU